rnacentral:rRNA from 1 species
UACGUAGGGGCCUAGCGUUGUCCGGAAUUAUUGGGCGUAAAGAGCGUGUAGGCGGCCAGGUAGGUCUGCUGUGAAAACUCGAGGCUCAACCUCGAGACGUCGGCGGAAACCAUCUGGCUAGAGUCCGGAAGAGGAGAGUGGAAUUCCUGGUGUAGCGGUGAAAUGCGCAGAUAUCAGGAAGAACACCCGUGGCGAAGGCGGCUCUCUGGGACGGUACUGACGCUGAGACGCGAAAGCGUGGGGAGCGAACAGG